AGCUGGCCGUGGCUGCUGUACUGUUCUGAUGGGAAGGACCCUACGAAAGAGAAACGAAAAUCCAAAUUAAAAUCAUAUCUCAAAAUCGCUACGCUCGCAACGCCCAAACCGUUCAACACCUUUCUAAUAACGCCCGGUGUCGCUCGCCAGUACAUUUGCACGGAUUGUGAAAAGUGAAAAUCACUAAAUCUCCCCGCAGGCCAAUCCGGCUCAAAAGCGGGCGUUUGCAGUUUGAUAAACCUGUCAUCCUACCCGCCCUUGCGAAUGGCUCGUAAAUUGGACAAAAAAAAAACACACACACACUCACGGAACAACAACCGUUGCGUGACACCCGGGCGGGAUCAAGCCAGCCGCCUGAAAAGAUUCCACCUGUUGCGCUGUUGGCGGACCGAUUGUUCGUUGGCCCGCCGGUGGGAAUGAUGUCUCACUUGACGAUUCCGAAAUCCUUCAUCACGUUCGUCAUCUCCGGCACAAACGCGGCGCGAUUUGAAACAAAUGGGACACACAUUUUGAAACCCUCCCCGCCUUCCCCCCACACAAAAACAGAACAGGCCCAGCACAAUGAGCUCGGAGGACAUUCGACAGCUCGAGGCAACCUGUCACGGCGACGAUCGAAUCGGAUCGUCCAGACCCUGAUCGCGCCUCAAAGGCACCUUUCGUUGGCUGAACUUGCUGCGCACUGGAUCGAGAAAGGCUUACCUGCAG